rnacentral:sRNA from 1 species
GUUGGGCGUGGUGGGGCAUGCCUGUAAUCCCAGCAGCUCAGGAGGCUGAGGCAGGAGGAUCACGAGUUCAAAGCCAGCCUCAGCAAAAGCAAGGCCCUAAGCAACUCAGUGAGACCCUGUCUCGC